rnacentral:rRNA from 1 species
UACCUGAUAGUAUCUUAAGCACACAUGUAAUUAAGAUUAAAGAUUUAUCGGUGUACGAUGGGGAUGCGUUCCAUUAGGUAGUAGGCGGGGUAACGGCCCACCUAGCCAACGAUGGAUAGGGGUUCUGAGAGGAAGGUCCCCCACAUUGGAACUGAGACACGGUCCAAACUCCUACGGGAGGCAGCAGUGAGGAAUAUUGGUCAAUGGACGAGAGUCUGAACCAGCCAAGUAGCGUGAAGGAUGAAGGUCCUACGGAUUGUAAACUUCUUUUAUAAGGGAAUAAACCCUCCCACGUGUGGGAGCUUGUAUGUACCUUAUGAAUAAGCAUCGGCUAACUCCGUGCCAGCAGCCGCGGUAAUACGGAGGAUGCGAGCGUUAUCCGGAUUUAUUGGGUUUAAAGGGAGCGCAGACGGGUCGUUAAGUCAGCUGUGAAAGUUUGGGGCUCAACCUUAAAAUUGCAGUUGAUACUGGCGUCCUUGAGUGCGGUUGAGGUGUGCGGAAUUCGUGGUGUAGCGGUGAAAUGCUUAGAUAUCACGAAGAACUCCGAUUGCGAAGGCAGCACACUAAUCCGUAACUGACGUUCAUGCUCGAAAGUGUGGGUAUCAAACAGGAUUAGAUACCCU